CANUGGAAGGAAACUCUGAUGCAGCGCACGCCNCGCUGAAGGAUGAAAGUAUUUCGGUAUGUAAACUUCUAUCAGCAGGGGAAGAAAAUGACGGUACCUGNACUAAGAAGCCCCGGCUAACUACGUGCCAGCAGCCGCGGUAAUACGUAGGGGGCAAGCGUUAUCCGGAUUUACUGGGUGUAAAGGGAGCGUAGACGGCACGGCAAGCCAGAUGUGAAAGCCCGGGGCUCAACCCCGGGACUGCAUUUGGAACUGCUGAGCUAGAGUGUCGGAGAGGCAAGUGGAAUUCCUAGUGUAGCGGUGAAAUGCGUAGAUAUUAGGAGGAACACCAGUGGCGAAGGCGGCUUGCUGGACUAUGACUGACGUUGAGGCUCGAAAGCGUGGGGAGCAAACAGGAUUAGAUACCCUGGUAGUCCAAGGGCGAAUUC
rnacentral:rRNA from 1 species